GUGCUCUCUUCAGCAGCACAUAAACUAAAAACUGGAAUGAUACAGAGAAGAUUAGCAUGGCCCCUACACAAGGAUGACAUGCAAAUUCACAAAGCAUUCCAUAUUUUU
rnacentral:snRNA from 1 species